UGCAACGAUGAAGAACGCAGCGAAAUGCGAUACGUAGUGUGAAUUGCAGAAUUCCGCGAAUCAUCGAGUCUUUGAACGCAAGUUGCGCCCGAGGCUUGUCCGAGGGCAUUUCCGCUAGAGCGUCACCGCGCCCCCUCA
rnacentral:rRNA from 1 species